rnacentral:misc_RNA from 1 species
UUGAAUUUUAAUGAAGAGUUUGAUUGUAGCUGGCCCAUUCAUUGGGCAUGUGCACACCUUCCUCUUUCAUCCCACACACACCUGUGAACCUGUGAGACAGAGAUGGGGAAUUUUACUUGCUGCUUUUUGGAAUACAAAGGCAAUAGGUAUUGGACCCCCCCUCUGUCUACUCAAUUAAUAUAAACUCAAUUUAUUUUAAAACGAAUGUAAUGGAUGUAACAACAUCUCAUAC